rnacentral:rRNA from 1 species
GCUUGUCUCAAAGAUUAAGCCAUGCAUGUCUAAGUGUAAAUAAGUCUAUACUGUGAAACUGCGAAUGGCUCAUUAAAUCAGUUAUCGUUUAUUUGAUGAUCUCUUACUACUUGGAUAACCGUAGUAAUUCUAGAGCUAAUACAUGCACAAAAUCCCGACUUACGAAGGGAUGUAUUUAUUAGAUACAAACCAACAUCGUGGUGAUUCAUAAUAACCUAUCGGACCGAAUGGCCUUGCGCCGUCGGUGCAUCAUUCAAAUUUCUGCCCUAUCAAUUUGUUGGUAGUAUAUAGGACUACCAAGAUGAUUACGGGUAACGGAGAAUUAGGGUUUGAUUCCGGAGAGGGAGCCUGAGAAACGGCUACCACAUCUAAGGAAGGCAGCAGG